rnacentral:rRNA from 1 species
GGUUAAGCGACUAAGCGUACACGGUGGAUGCCCUGGCAGUCAGAGGCGAUGAAGGACGUGCUAAUCUGCGAAAAGCGUCGGUAAGGUGAUAUGAACCGUUAUAGCCGGCGAUGUCCGAAUGGGGAAACCCAGUGUGAUUCGUCACACUAUCGUUAACUGAAUACAUAGGUUAACGAGGCGAACCGGGGGAACUGAAACAUCUAAGUACCCCGAGGAAAAGAAAUCAACCGAGAUUCCCCCAGUAGCGGCGAGCGAACGGGGAGCAGCCCAGAGUCUGAAUCAGCUUGUGUGUUAGUGGAACGGUCUGGAAAGUCCGACGGUACAGGGUGAUAGUCCCGUACACCAAAAUGCACAGGCUGUGAACUCGAAGAGUAGGGCGGGACACGUGGUAUCCUGUCUGAAUAUGGGGGGACCAUCCUCCAAGGCUAAAUACUCCUGACUGACCGAUAGUGAACCAGUACCGUGAGGGAAAGGCGAAAAGAACCCCGGCGAGGGGAGUGAAAAAGAACCUGAAACCGUGUACGUACAAGCAGUGGGAGCACCUUCGGGUGUGACUGCGUACCUUUUGUAUAAUGGGUCAGCGACUUAUAUUCUGUAGCAAGGUUAACCGUAUAGGGGAGCCGCAGGGAAACCGAGUCUUAACUGGGCGUUAAGUUGCAGGGUAUAGACCCGAAACCCGGUGAUCUAGCCAUGGGCAGGUUGAAGGUUGGGUAACACUAACUGGAGGACCGAACCGACUAAUGUUGAAAAAUUAGCGGAUGACUUGUGGCUGGGGGUGAAAGGCCAAUCAAACCGGGAGAUAGCUGGUUCUCCCCGAAAGCUAUUUAGGUAGCGCCUCGUGAACUCAUCUUCGGGGGUAGAGCACUGUUUCGGCUAGGGGGUCAUCCCGACUUACCAACCCGAUGCAAACUACGAAUACCGAAGAAUGUUAUCACGGGAGACACACGGCGGGUGCUAACGUCCGUCGUGAAGAGGGAAACAACCCAGACCGCCAGCUAAGGUCCCAAAGUCAUGGUUAAGUGGGAAACGAUGUGGGAAGGCACAGACAGCCAGGAUGUUGGCUUAGAAGCAGCCAUCAUUUAAAGAAAGCGUAAUAGCUCACUGGUCGAGUCGGCCUGCGCGGAAGAUGUAACGGGGCUAAACCAUGCACCGAAGCUGCGGCAGCGACACUAUGUGUUGUUGGGUAGGGGAGCGUUCUGUAAGCCUGCGAAGGUGUGCUGUGAGGCAUGCUGGAGGUAUCAGAAGUGCGAAUGCUGACAUAAGUAACGAUAAAGCGGGUGAAAAGCCCGCUCGCCGGAAGACCAAGGGUUCCUGUCCAACGUUAAUCGGGGCAGGGUGAGUCGACCCCUAAGGCGAGGCCGAAAGGCGUAGUCGAUGGGAAACAGGUUAAUAUUCCUGUACUUGGUGUUACUGCGAAGGGGGGACGGAGAAGGCUAUGUUAGCCGGGCGACGGUUGUCCCGGUUUAAGCAUGUAGGCUGGUUGUCCAGGCAAAUCCGGAUAAUCAAGGCUGAGGUGUGAUGACGAGGCACUACGGUGCUGAAGUAACAAAUGCCCUGCUUCCAGGAAAAGCCUCUAAGCAUCAGGUAACAUCAAAUCGUACCCCAAACCGACACAGGUGGUCAGGUAGAGAAUACCAAGGCGCUUGAGAGAACUCGGGUGAAGGAACUAGGCAAAAUGGUGCCGUAACUUCGGGAGAAGGCACGCUGGUGUGUAGGUGAAGUCCCUGCGGAUGGAGCUGAGACCAGUCGAAGAUACCAGCUGGCUGCAACUGUUUAUUAAAAACACAGCACUGUGCAAACACGAAAGUGGACGUAUACGGUGUGACGCCUGCCCGGUGCCGGAAGGUUAAUUGAUGGGGUUAUCCGUAAGGAGAAGCUCUUGAUCGAAGCCCCGGUAAACGGCGGCCGUAACUAUAACGGUCCUAAGGUAGCGAAAUUCCUUGUCGGGUAAGUUCCGACCUGCACGAAUGGCGUAAUGAUGGCCAGGCUGUCUCCACCCGAGACUCAGUGAAAUUGAACUCGCUGUGAAGAUGCAGUGUACCCGCGGCAAGACGGAAAGACCCCGUGAACCUUUACUAUAGCUUGACACUGAACAUUGAGCCUUGAUGUGUAGGAUAGGUGGGAGGCUUUGAAGCGUGGACGCCAGUCUGCGUGGAGCCAACCUUGAAAUACCACCCUUUAAUGUUUGAUGUUCUAACGUUGGCCCCUGACCGGGGUUGCGGACAGUGUCUGGUGGGUAGUUUGACUGGGGCGGUCUCCUCCCAAAGCGUAACGGAGGAGCACGAAGGUUAGCUAAUCCUGGUCGGACAUCAGGAGGUUAGUGCAAUGGCAUAAGCUAGCUUGACUGCGAGCGUGACGGCGCGAGCAGGUGCGAAAGCAGGUCAUAGUGAUCCGGUGGUUCUGAAUGGAAGGGCCAUCGCUCAACGGAUAAAAGGUACUCCGGGGAUAACAGGCUGAUACCGCCCAAGAGUUCAUAUCGACGGCGGUGUUUGGCACCUCGAUGUCGGCUCAUCACAUCCUGGGGCUGAAGUAGGUCCCAAGGGUAUGGCUGUUCGCCAUUUAAAGUGGUACGCGAGCUGGGUUUAGAACGUCGUGAGACAGUUCGGUCCCUAUCUGCCGUGGGCGCUGGAGAAUUGAGGGGGGCUGCUCCUAGUACGAGAGGACCGGAGUGGACGCAUCACUGGUGUUCGGGUUGUCAUGCCAAUGGCACUGCCCGGUAGCUAAAUGCGGAAGAGAUAAGUGCUGAAAGCAUCUAAGCACGAAACUUGCCCCGAGAUGAGUUCUCCCUGAGACUUUAAGUCUCCUGAAGGAACGUUGAAGACGACGACGUUGAUAGGCCGGGUGUGUAAGCGCAGCGAUGCGUUGAGCUAACCGGUACUAAUGAACCGUGAGGCUUAACCUU